rnacentral:rRNA from 1 species
CCUACGGGUGGCUGCAGUAACGAAUCUUCCGCAAUGCACGCAAGUGUGACGGAGCGACGCCGCGUGUGGGACGAAGUCCUUCGGGAUGUAAACCACUGUCAGGGGUAAGAUCUACCCCAGAGGAAGGCACGGCUAACUCUGUGCCAGCAGCCGCGGUAAGACAGAGGUGCCGAGCGUUAGGCGGAAUCACUGGGCUUAAAGCGUGUGUAGGCGGAUCGUUAAGUGUCUUGUGAAAUCCCCCGGCUCAACCGGGGAACUGCUGGGCAUACUGGCGAUCUUGAGCGAUCUAGGGGCAGAUGGAACAAGUGGUGGAGCGGUGAAAUGCGUAGAUAUCACUUGGAACGCCAAAGGUGAAGACAGUCUGCUGGGACUGCUGACGCUGAGACACGAAAGCCAGGGGAGCGAACGGGAUUAGAUACCCCUGUAGUC